CUCUGAUCUUUUAACCCCUUUCUCUUCAGUCCGAUCCUUGACGUCUUCCAACCAAAAUCUUUUAAGCAUUCCAAAAACCCACUUCAAGACUAGACGAGAUCUCUCAUUUCUAUCUCUAAACUAAACAAAUAAAUCUCCAAUAAGUUUGUUUAUGGUUGUAUAACAGUUCAUUUCAAAAAUAUGGAUUUUUGAUGCUUUUUCUUCUUUUAACAAGAGCUGUAGUCAUUUCACAUUCAUUUGUGGUGAAACGAAACUCUGAGAUUGAUGUUUCUGCUUUCUGGAAAGGCAACAUACCAUAAAAAAAUCUUCAGAAGAAAACAACCUCGGGCGUUACGUGAUCUGUUUAUGUCAGUCACGUGUGAACAAGUCUUUCUGGAUACUUCUGUCCAAAUUUGUGAAGAAUGCAGUUGAGGAAGACUUUCCUUCCAAGUCCUCCUCUCUCCACAUGCUGAGCUCUGUAUAAAAAGACUUGAUUAGAUCGUCUUGCACACUUUAGAGAUUAAAGGUUCAGUUCUUGCAGAAGCUCCCACAUCCAGCUUAAUCAUUUGUCCGUGAAUGCUGAGCUCAGGCGUGGAACCCACAUGAUGUCCAACAACCAGCAGUGGAGAGAAGUUUUUCAGGAGGACAGAAACUUUGUCACCUACGGAUGGAAGCCUGGAUGGACCUCAAGCACUC